UUGAAGACUCUGAGUGACUUGACAGCCACACCUCCAAAGUCCGUUGCCCUUGGCAACCAUUGAAGUAGAAGAACAUCCUCUUUAGACAGCAGCAGGACUCUUCUGUCAGCUUUCCAGGAUUGUGACCAGUGUACCAGCUGU
rnacentral:lncRNA from 1 species